rnacentral:rRNA from 1 species
GUAAUACGCUGGGGGCUGCCUAGUACAUGCAUGUCGAGCGAACAGAUGAAGUGCUUGCACUUCUGACGUUAGCGGCGAACGGGUGAGUAACACGUAAGGAAUCUACCUAUAAGCGGGGGAUAACAUUCGGAAACGGGUGCUAAUACCGCAUAAUAUCUUCUUCCGCAUGGAAGAAGAUUGAAAGACGGCUCUGCUGUCACUUAUAGAUGACCUUGCGGUGCAUUAGUUAGUUGGUGGGGUAACGGCCUACCAAGACGAUGAUGCAUAGCCGACCUGAGAGGGUGAUCGGCCACAUUGGGACUGAGACACGGCCCAAACUCCUACGGGAGGCAGCAGUAGGGAAUCUUCCGCAAUGGGCGAAAGCCUGACGGAGCAAUGCCGCGUGAGUGAAGAAGGCCUUCGGGUCGUAAAACUCUGUUAUAAGAGAAGAACAAAUUGUAGAGUAACUGCUACAGUCUUGACGGUAUCUUAUCAAAAGCCACGGCUAACUACGUGCCAGCAGCCGCGGUAAUACGUAGGUGGCAAGCGUUGUCCGGAUUUAUUGGGCGUAAAGGGAGAGCAGGUGGUUUCUUAAGUCUGAUGUGAAAGCCCACGGUUAACCGUGGAGGGUCAUUGGAAACUGGGAAACUUGAGUACAGAAAAGAAUGUGGA